CACAUUCGCCAACAGACCCAAGAACACCUUCUUCAAGAAGCUUUGCUACAACUCCAAAGACGUGGCCUCAGCUCCUUAUUCAUCAUCAUCGUUUAAUUUAAGCGAAAUGCUCGAGACGCUUAUGAAUGAUGUGAUUUGUAGAGUGGCUCUGGGGAGGAAGUACGAUGGCG